CAGGCUUAACACAUGCAAGUCGAGGGGCAGCAUGGUCUUAGCUUGCUAAGGCCGAUGGCGACCGGCGCACGGGUGAGUAACACGUAUCCAACCUGCCGUCUACUCUUGGACAGCCUUCUGAAAGGAAGAUUAAUACAAGAUGGCAUCAUGAGUCCGCAUGUUCACAUGAUUAAAGGUAUUCCGGUAGACGAUGGGGAUGCGUUCCAUUAGAUAGUAGGCGGGGUAACGGCCCACCUAGUCUUCGAUGGAUAGGGGUUCUGAGAGGAAGGUCCCCCACAUUGGAACUGAGACACGGUCCAAACUCCUACGGGAGGCAGCAGUGAGGAAUAUUGGUCAAUGGGCGAGAGCCUGAACCAGCCAAGUAGCGUGAAGGAUGACUGCCCUAUGGGUUGUAAACUUCUUUUAUAAAGGAAUAAAGUCGGGUAUGCAUACCCGUUUGCAUGUACUUUAUGAAUAAGGAUCGGCUAACUCCGUGCCAGCAGCCGCGGUAAUACGGAGGAUCCGAGCGUUAUCCGGAUUUAUUGGGUUUAAAGGGAGCGUAGAUGGAUGUUUAAGUCAGUUGUGAAAGUUUGCGGCUCAACCGUAAAAUUGCAGUUGAUACUGGAUAUCUUGAGUGCAGUUGAGGCAGGCGGAAUUCGUGGUGUAGCGGUGAAAUGCUUAGAUAUCACGAAGAACUCCGAUUGCGAAGGCAGCCUGCUAAGCUGCAACUGACAUUGAGGCUCGAAAGUGUGGGUAUCAAACAGGAUUAGAUACCCUGGUAGUCCACACGGUAAACGAUGAAUACUCGCUGUUUGCGAUAUACAGCAAGCGGCCAAGCGAAAGCGUUAAGUAUUCCACCUGGGGAGUACGCCGGCAACGGUGAAACUCAAAGGAAUUGACGGGGCCCGCACAAGCGGAGGAACAUGUGGUUUAAUUCGAUGAUACGCGAGGAACCUUACCCGGGCUUAAAUUGCAGAUGAAUUACGGUGAAAGCCGUAAGCCGCAAGGCAUCUGUGAAGGUGCUGCAUGGUUGUCGUCAGCUCGUGCCGUGAGGUGUCGGCUUAAGUGCCAUAACGAGCGCAACCCUUGUUGUCAGUUACUAACAGGUUCCGCUGAGGACUCUGACAAGACUGCCAUCGUAAGAUGUGAGGAAGGUGGGGAUGACGUCAAAUCAGCACGGCCCUUACGUCCGGGGCUACACACGUGUUACAAUGGGGGGUACAGAGGGCCGCUACCACGCGAGUGGAUGCCAAUCCCAAAAACCUCUCUCAGUUCGGACUGGAGUCUGCAACCCGACUCCACGAAGCUGGAUUCGCUAGUAAUCGCGCAUCAGCCACGGCGCGGUGAAUACGUUCCCGGGCCUUGUACACACCGCCCGUCAAGCCAUGGGAGCCGGGGGUACCUGAAGUGCGUAACCGCGAGGAGCGCCCUAGGGUAAAACUGGUGACUGGGGC
rnacentral:rRNA from 1 species